GGGGCCUUGUGCCCCUGUCUAAUGCAGCCCCCGUAAGGGGACGGUCGCAAGCCCGUGGAAAUGCAGAGCGGACA
rnacentral:ribozyme from 1 species